ACCACACUUACCUGGGGGUUCUCCGCCACUUCUCUGUCCACUCCUGUUGUGGUCCAUCCUCACUGCAUGUCCAGGACUCCAAUGUGUCCCACCGCAAGGACAGACGGCCAGCAUCCCUGUGAUUCAUGGAUGUGGCUUCGUGGCUCGCCACGACCCGCGGGAAGCUUCAGCCAAACCCACAUGUAAACUACACACACUCUAGGCGCACAUGCCCGACAGCUGGC